ACACCUAAUGCGCUACUGUUUUUGAGUUUCAGGACCAAGAAAAGUCUUUGGAUUUGGUGGCUAGUUGUUGUAGUGGUAAUAAUGGCAGUGGACAUUUUGAGUUUAAUGGAUUGACUGCACUGUUAGCGCCAAAGACAGAAGCAGAAAGGUUGUUGAGUGACAUAAUAUUGCAGAAUGAUAGCGAGGGGCUUUAUGCUUAUUUGGAGAAAGAAUUUGGUUAGGUUGGAUUGUCUGAGGAACGAUGCAUUACUUCAUAGUGUUUCCAGUGUGUCCUCUGAUAAAGCUGUUCUUCUCAGGUACAUUGCAACUAUCGAUGGUGAAGUUCAUAAGCGACACUUGAUAGCCAUUAGUGAGGGAAACAGUUAUUGAAGGUGUCCAUUGUACCCCAGAUAAUGUGGAACUACUACCAAGGCAACCUGACUUACCAAGACCUCAUCCACUAUUGUGUAUAGAGGAGGCUGGCUUGAAAACUGCGAAAUUAAGAGAUGAGAAAGAGGUCUUGGAUAGGCAGCAGCGUGCUGAUAUUGAUGCUCAGAAGAAUCUAAUAGAAAAUCUUCAGCAGUUUGAAAAUUGGAAGCAUGAGCUUGAGUCUCAGGAGAAACAGAUGCAAGGAAGGUUGAAGAAACUUCUUGAUGCAGUUAAGAAGCAUGACGAAGAACUGAAACGGGUGAAAGAAGAACAGCGCGAGAUGAAAAAUAAACUUCAACAUUCCAGGUUUUAGCCGGCUCCAAGUAUUGUGGAUAGAGAGGGCAGAAUUGGAAACUUGGGAAGCGUCGAAGCUUUGCCUUCCCCAUCCGUAGGCACCUUGUUCUUGUCUCCUGCGAUAAGCUCAACGCUGUGCCACUUGAGCUGGCUGAUAUACCUAAUCUUCACGAGAUGAAGCUGGAUAAUACAAGUAAAGCGGUCAAAUCUGCAAAAGAUAUACUGGAACGUAAGACAUCCAAAACCAUAAAAUUCAAGUUCAGCAUUUUCCCUCCUGAAACUGAAUCCAAGGCCACACAGUGAAGUUGAAAGGUUAGUCAAACUCAUCAGUAUAUAGUACAGUACUCUUCGCUGAAAGUUUGUUUGCAUGGCUAUGUUCUUUUCCAUUGGGAAUACAUUUUUUAUCUCUAGACUAUACAUAUCACUUUUAUUAGAAUAUCCAUUAACGCUAUAUCUGUAUAUAGUACAAGUUUUCUCUCCUUGUUUCCCUGUUAAUUUCAUUUAGUACUAGUUUUCCUCUAUUCUGCAGGAGAGAAAUCGGAACUUCGAUCUGAUGUCGCGGCAUUUCGUGUUUUCUCUGUUGUCGUCCAGUCAUCUGAUAAGAUUGUUCUUCCAAUAAAGAAAACCUGUUUUAUCUUUUUCUUAUUCACGAAUGGUGAAUUUGAAAUAAUUGUGCUUCCUGGAGUUGUUACUUUUCGACUUUCUGAUCAUGUGGAAUGUUUUCUUUCCCAAUUGUAAAACUGUUUGCUUCUUUCUGUUAUGUUUGCAUUUGGUUUGUAAAACAGUUGCUUUUAUCUUUC